UGGAAGAUUGCAUAGAUAUUUAGCCAUCUUGUACCUCUUAUAGCUUGGGAAAUGAAAAAAUUAUAUAUGUGCAUAUGUGUGAAUAUAUUUUGCUUUGUGAUUUGGAAACAAAAAAUUAUAUACAUGUUUAUUAUAAGGUUGUUAUAAUAUUUUAUUUUAAUAUAUAAUUUUUUUUGGUUUGAAAACAUGUAGAUAAACAUGGAUGGACUUCAAAUAAAUCUUGAAUCAAGUAGCUUUGAAAUGCCUAUUAAUUUAGAAGAUGUUGCAAGUCCUAUGGAGGGAGUCACAAGUGGGCAUAAAGUGAAACGCAAGAGAAAACUCACUUCAAAGGUUUGGUCUUACUUUGAUGUGCUUCCUUUGGAUGUUGAUGGUAAGCAAAAAUGUAAAUGUAAAGAUUGUGGUACCAUUUAUCUUUGUGAUAGUAAAUAUGGAACGGGAAAUUUGGUGCGUCAUUUGAAAAAUUGUGUGAAAAGAGACACUCGUGAUCUUACUGAAGAUGUUUUGAGCUGUGAUAUCAAUAAAGAAGAAUCUUCAAGUCAAUGCUCUAAUUAUGCUAAUACUCAAGCAUAAGGCUGGAUUGUUGAGCACCAAAAAUCGACAUAUUUGGUUUGGAAUCUGGACAUCGAUAAAUAAAUUUGGAGCAUAAUGAUAGUUAUGUCCUUUUUCCUUUGGUUUUAUAUGUAUUAUGAUAACAAUUUGAUACCAUUUAUUUUAUUUUGUAUUGGUGUUUUACUAUUAUUAGGACAUUAAAUUUUAUGUUGGUGUAUUGAAUUUGUCUUUUUUAGCA